rnacentral:rRNA from 1 species
GUUUGAUCCUGGCUCAGAACAAACGCUGGCGGCGUGCCUAACACAUGCAAGUCGUACGAGAAAUCCUGGGCAACUGGGAGAGUAAAGUGGCGCACGGGUGAGUAACGCGUGGGUAACCUGCCCUUGAAUUGGGGAUAACUCCGCGAAAGCGAAGUUAAUACCGAAUGAUAUUCCGAUUUCUCCGGAGGUUGGAAUCAAAGGUGGCCUCUGCAUGCAAGCUACUGUUCAAGGAUGGGCCCGCGUACCAUUAGCUUGUUGGUAGGGUAACGGCCUACCAAGGCAUCGAUGGUUAGCUGGUCUGAGAGGAUGGCCAGCCACACUGGAACUGAGACACGGUCCAGACUCCUACGGGAGGCAGCAGUGGGGAAUCUUGCGCAAUGGGGGAAACCCUGACGCAGCAACGCCGCGUGGGUGAUGAAGGCCUUCGGGUCGUAAAGCCCUGUCAGGUGGGAAGAACCGUAUCGGUACAAACAGUGCCGAUGCUUGACGGUACCACCGGAGGAAGCACCGCUAACUCCGUGCCAGCAGCCGCGGUAAUACGGAGGGUGCAAGCGUUGUUCGGAAUUACUGGGCGUAAAGCGCGUGCAGGCGGUUGAGCAAGUCAGAUGUGAAAGCCUUCCGCUUAACGGAAGAAGUGCAUUUGAAACUACUCGGCUAGAGUUCGAGAGAGGAGAGUGGAAUUCCCGGUGUAGAGGUGAAAUUCGUAGAUAUCGGGAGGAACACCGGUGGCGAAGGCGGCUCUCUGGCUCGAUACUGACGCUGAGACGCGAAAGCGUGGGGAGCAAACAGGAUUAGAUACCCUGGUAGUCCACGCCGUAAACGAUGGGCACUAGGUGUAGGAGGUAUUGACCCCUUCUGUGCCGAAGCUAACGCAUUAAGUGCCCCGCCUGGGGAGUACGGCCGCAAGGCUAAAACUCAAAGGAAUUGACG